rnacentral:rRNA from 1 species
GGAUUAGAUACCCUGGUAGUCCACGCCGUAAACGAUGUCUACUAGGAGCUCGGUCUUUCGGGACUGUUUUCCAAAGCUAACGCAUUAAGUAGACCGCCUGGGGAGUACGGCCGCAAGGUUAAAACUCAAAUGAAUUGACGGGGGCCCGCACAAGCGGUGGAGCAUGUGGUUUAAUUCGAUGCAACGCGAAGAACCUUACCUACACUUGACAUCCAGAGAACUUACUAGAGAUAGUUUGGUGCCUUCGGGAACUCUGAGACAGGUGCUGCAUGGCUGUCGUCAGCUCGUGCCG